UGGGAUGUUCAACUUUGGUUCCAAGUUAAGAGUCAUUAGCAUGCAAGAAAACGUUAAAGAACCAAAGAAAAUACACAGCAUGAUGUUUGCAUAGCAUUCUCUUCAUUCAUUCACAUGUCUAACAAGAUUAAGCAUGAUGUUUACUAUAACCUUGUCUAGAUAAUCUGUAGGCGACUCUAAUGGUGAUCAAACAUUAAAAUUGACAAACAAAUUGAACAAUAGAUUCAGUGAAUGAAACAAGAUACAGAUUGAUGAACUGAAUACUUUAACUUAGAAACAUGGAUCAAUGUUGCAAGGCUACAUCGAAAUCCC
rnacentral:lncRNA from 1 species